rnacentral:rRNA from 1 species
UAGAGUUUGAUCAUGGCUCAGGAUGAACGCUGGCGGCGUGGCUAAGGCAUGCAAGUCGAAUGCUGCACUUCGGUGCGGCAUGGCAAACGGGAGAGUAACGCAUUGGUAAUUUACCUCGAGGACGAGAAUAACUCCGAGAAAUCGGAGAUAAUACUCGAUAAAAGCGGGGGGACAUAAGUCAUUCCCACUUAAAGUUCCGGCGCCUCGAGAGAAGCCUAUGUACUAUCAGCUUGUUGGUGAGGUAAAAGCUCACCAAGGCUUUGACGGUUAGCGGGUGUGAGAGCAUGACCCGUCUCACUGGGACUGAGAUACUGCCCAGACUCCUACGGGAGGCUGCAGUCACGAAUCUUCCUCAAUGGCCGAAAGGCUGAAGGAGCGACGCCGCGUGUAUGAAGACGCCCCUCGGGGUGUAAAGUACUUUUCUCUGGGACGGAGCUUAGGCUGACGGUACCAGAGGAAUAAGGGGCUGCUAACCUCU